UCCGGUUUGGCACCGGCAGUAUCCCAUGAGUCCCCAACUAAAUGAUGGCAACUAAGGGCGAGGGUUGCGCUCGUUGCGGGACUUAACCCAACAUCUCAUGACACGAGCUGACGACAGCCAUGCAGCACCUGUCUCCGGUCCAGCCGAACUGAAGGGAUCGAUCUCUCGUUCCCGCGACCGGGAUGUCAAAGGCUGGUAAGGUUCUUCGCGUUGCUUCGAAUUGAGCCACAUGCUCCACCGCUUGUGCGGGCCCCCGUCAAUUCCUUUGAGUUUUAAUCUUGCGACCGUACUCCCCAGGCGGGCAACUUCACGCGUUAGCUGCGUUACUAAAGGAGUUCAUCCUCCAACAACUAGUUGCCAUCGUUUAGGGCGUGGACUAC
rnacentral:misc_RNA from 1 species